rnacentral:rRNA from 1 species
GAUGAACGCUGGCGGCGUGCCUAAUACAUGCAAGUCGAGCGAACGGACGAGAAGCUUGCUUCUCUGAUGUUAGCGGCGGACGGGUGAGUAACACGUGGAUAACCUACCUAUAAGACUGGGAUAACUUCGGGAAACCGUAGCUAAUACCGGAUAAUAUUUUGAACCGCAUGGUUCAAAAGUGAAAGACGGUCUUGCUGUCACUUAUAGAUGGAUCCGCGCUGCAUUAGCUAGUUGGUAAGGUAACGGCUUACCAAGGCAACGAUGCAUAGCCGACCUGAGAGGGGGAUCGGCCACACUGGAACUGAGACACGGUCCAGACUCCUACGGGAGGCAGCAGUAGGGAAUCUUCCGCAAUGGGCGAAAUCCUGACGGAGCAACGCCGCGUGAGUGAUGAAGGUCUUCGGAUCGUAAAACUCUGUUAUUAGGGAAGAACAUAUGUGUAAGUAACUGUGCACAUCUUGACGGUACCUAAUCAGAAAGCCACGGCUAACUACGUG